CUCCUCUGCAUCUUCAUCUCUUUCUUCUAGGUUUUCUACCAUGUGUAUUUCUUCCUAGGUUCAAAAACUUUUGAAUGUUACUUCAACAAAAUCCGGAGAUAAGAAGAUUUUGACCAAUUUGUGAAAUUACUCAAAAUUUAAAGAAAAUCAGCUUCUUCCUUCUUUGUUGUCUAUGACGCGAGGAAGGUACUGCAAUUUCUGUAUGCAAGGCUCUUGAUGAAAUUGGAAACGUAUCUGUACUAGGAUUUAUUUUAAAAUGUCUACAUAUAGUGAAUCAACUUUGCAUCUCGAUAGUGACGGUGAAGAGGUGGAAUUCACCAGUGUUAACGGUGAUGGUAGUGAUAGAGAUACGUUGGAGAAAGAGGAUUGUAAUGGUCAUAAAUGUUUCAGUGAAGUUACAGAUGAAGAUAUAAGAGCUAUGGAAUUUAGCACAGAGGAAGAAGCGAUACAAUUUUACAUAACAUAUGCGCAUUUCCAUGGAUUUGCGGUAAGGAAAGACGAUGUUGUACGCGAUCAUGAAAGGAAAAUUGUUGUUCGUCAAUUACUUUGCAAUAAAGAAGGAAAGAGUGAAAGAAAAAAUAAGAAGAAUGAGGAUAAAUAUCGGCCAACUAUGCGAACUGGUUGUCUUGCUAGAUUUUGAGUAACUUAUGAUUAUGUUCGUACGCUUUGGAGAGUUACUAAAUUUGAGUCAUCUCAUAACCAUGAAUUAACUCCUGCACGUUUUAUUCAUUUGAUUCCCAAUUAUCGUAAAUUAAGUGAAGCGGAUAAACAAGUUGUCAAUGGUUUGCAUUCACAAGGCGUUAGAACUUAUCAUAUAUUGGGCUUUUUGAUGGAGCAAAAAGGAGGUCAUGAAAGUCUUGGAUUUAUUAAAAAAGACCUAUACAACUAUACUCAUCAUCAAGGAAGGGUAAGAAUUGAAGGUGGUGAUACUUUUGCCACUUUGAGUUAUUUUCAAGGAAAAGCUGAUAGUGAUUCAGCCUUUUUUUCGGAGUUUACCUUUACAGAUGACGGGCGGUUAGAAAAUAUUUUCUGGUCCGAUUCUAUCAGAAGAUUUGAUUAUGAAUGCUUUAGUGAUGUGGUUGUAUUUGACACAACUUAUAAAAAGAAUCAAUAUGACAAGCCACUUGUAAUAUUUUGUGGAUUUAAUCACCAUUGAGAAACGACCAUUUUUGCAUCGGCUUUACUUUGCGAUGAAACAACAGAGACAUAUAAAUGGGUUUUAGAUAUGUUUGUAAAGGCCAUGUAUGGAAAACAUCCCAAAGUCGUUGUUACUGAUGGGGAUAAAUCAAUAAG